rnacentral:rRNA from 1 species
CUCUACGGCCACGCCACCCUGAACAAGCCCCAUCCCAUCUGAUCUCAGAAGCUAAGCAGGGUUGGGCCUGGUUAGUACUUGGAUGGGAGACCACCUAGGAAGACCAGGUGCUGUAGGCA